ensembl:lncRNA
AGAACCCAGUGCGUGCUUCCGAUGCAGGGAAAACCAAUUCUGCAGGGGAGACCUACCUUGGCACUUGCGCAGGUGAAGCCAAAGGGAAGAUAUGCUUCACCAUAUUUUCUAGUCUUUGGCUUAGAAGAAAGAUGGUUUGGAAACAUAUUUGGCGAUGCUUCAUCUCCUGCUUUGCGUUUGUGUGGAAGCCUUGUCAAAAACCUGUCAAACCUGUCAAAAGCUGUGUCCAAGCGUUCUUUUUUUAUUUUUUUAUUUCUCUUUUCAUACCCCCCCCCCCACACACACACACACACAAUGGCUCUGCGUCCCCCCCUAGGGGAUAGGCCCCACACUUUGGGUACCUCUGCCUCAAAAGGUUGAUUCUGUUCAUCUGGACGUUUUCAGUGGGAGAAACAUUUGAUCACUUAUCCAAGUGACUUCUUCAGUCUCAGCUGAUUUCAGGUUUCCCCAAUCUUAUAAACAGUACAUUUCCACAAUGACUGAAACUUAGCAGCACUGAAUGAACAAUGGGAUGUGAGCUCAGUUACUUGAUCAAAUUACUUGCAAAUUCUCAUGACCAUUGAUCAAAGAGCAUCGAUCAAUGGUUCUUUGGACUGGUAAGCAGCGGAUGACUUCCUCCACAGCAGAUCUGCUCCUCCAGUCCACACCUCACCUGCAUCUUUUUUAGCAGCAUUGUGGGCUAAAGCAGAGGAACCUGUACCCCCAGUUUCCUUUGCUUCUGUUGCAUCCUCUGGUUUUUCUGCUCCCGCUCCUCUUGGCUUCCUCUGCACUGGUUUCUUAGGCACCUUCUGCAUUCUCUGCUCCCUCAUCAAGGAGGAAAUGGCAUCCUCAUCAUCAACUGUUCUCUCAACCAUUGGCAUCAGCUGCCUUGGUCUGUCUGCUGGCACAGGGCUGACGGAUUACACUGUUUUGAUGCACAAGGGAUCUCUCGAGUGGAAGGUCCAAAUCAGAUGGAGGGUAGGGAGAAAAUCUGCAGUCCAGAUCAGAACGGACAGGCAUCAAAUUGGUGAUCAAUAUACUGGGAACUGCCAAAAUAGGAUGUACUCCGAAAGGGACUUUUACCUUUCUGGCAUUUCACAAUGCACAUGGAAAAAUUUGACCAUCCACAUCUCAACUUUUGUUCUCGCCUUUUCUCAACCUUGCAUGGCUCCAGAGCAGCAAAUUCAGCCACCGAGUUGGAGUUGGUCCCCACCUCUAACACCAAAUGAGAAAAGGACACCUGCUUUGAGCUUUACUGAUGUCAAUCCACCUGAACCACAGAAAAUGAUAGUUCAGCACACAGUGCGGCCUGAUGAUGCAACAACGCAGUUGUACACUUCCCCAAGGCUCAGGCCCUUUUCUUGGCGUUGCCCUCAUUCCUUGAAGGAUAUCAAACAGCCAGACCUCCAGAAGUCAUGGAGGCUUCUAGAAAGCCUCCAUGACUUAUCAUGUCCUGCUAUUGACAUGAUAAGAUACAAGUGUGUACUUGAUUGCCAAGUUUGAAGUUGAAGAUGGGGGAUGACCUCUUUGCAAAGUAUCUCAACACCAUGCAAAACCAAAACCAUAGCGAGGAGUCCUUAGCCUACCUACCAUAACAAGAAAAUCAACCUCUGUGGUAGAAGAGUUCAGGUAGCUGCUCUGCUCUGUGCCAUGGUAUUGAAGAAGAUAACAGUGGAUGAUAUAUAUCCUUAAAUUUAGUUACAGCACUUUCAGAAAGACAUCUACUGUGAUAAAGUCUACUCUCCACUGCUGUGUAAUCAAUUAUUGUAAAUGUAAAUGUUAUCAGGAAAUGAUCAGACAGGAGAGGGUUUUCAGGAAACACUGUUAAAUGUUCAGUUUCUAUGCCAUAUGUUAAAACAAGAUCUAGAGUGUGAUUAAAGUGGUGGGUGGGUUCUUUUACAUUUUGACAGAAGCCAAUUGAGUCUAAUAACAGAUUGAAUGCUGUGUUGAGGCUGUCACUUUUAGCAUCUACGUGAAUGUUAAAAUCACCCACAGUAAUUAUUUUAUCUGAG